rnacentral:rRNA from 1 species
GCGAGUGAAGCGGCAACAGCUCAAAUUUGAAAGCUGGCCCCCCCGGGGGUCCGCGUUGUAAUUUGUAGAGGAUGAUUCGGCGAGGGCUCCCGCCUAAGUCCCCUGGAACGGGGCGUCAUAGAGGGUGAGAAUCCCGUAUGCGGUGGGCUGCCUUAGCCACGUGAAUCUCCUUCGACGAGUCGAGUUGUUUGGGAAUGCAGCUCUAAAUGGGAGGUAAAUUUCUUCUAAAGCUAAAUACCGGCCAGAGACCGAUAGCGCACAAGUAGAGUGAUCGAAAGAUGAAAAGCACUUUGGAAAGAGAGUUAAAAAGUACGUGAAAUUGUUGAAAGGGAAGCGCUUGCAGCCAGACUUGUCCGCAGUUGCUCAGCCGGUCUCCUGACCGGCGCACUCUUCUGCGGCCAGGCCAGCAUCAGUUCGGGCGGUCGGAUAAAGGCCCCGGGAACGUAGCUCCUCUCGGGGAGUGUUAUAGCCCGGGGUGGAAUGCGGCCAGCCCGGACUGAGGAUCUCGCUUCGGCUAGGAUGCUGGCGUAAUGGCUGUAAGCGGCCCGUCUUGAAACACGGACCAAGGAGUCUAACAUCUAUGCGAGUGUUUGGGUGUCAAACCCAUGCGCGUAAUGAAAGUGAACGGAGGUGGGAACCCUCGCGGGUGCACCAUCGACCGAUCCUGAUGUCUUCGGAUGGAUUUGAGUAAGAGC